AGCUGUAUAGAUGGUCCUCACCUCGAAACCCUAGUAUAUAGGAAUCGUUGUAGCUGUGUUUCUUAUCUGAUUUCUUGUGAUUGUUUUGGUGGCAGAUGAUGUUAGGUUUCUGCAAAGUUAGUUUCAUUGUAAAAUUAAAGGGCUUUUUAUCUUCUUUUGUGUUUAGGUUGGAGCUGUAAGUGAUGAAAGUGUUGAACGUUCGAGUCUGUUGGAUCAAAUAGAACUUGAAUUUGAAGCUCAUCUCAAUGGUCAACCAAGCGGGAUCUGAUGGUGUCAAGGCUGAGUCCAAGGACGGUGAAGACCUAUAUCUGCUGGGAGACAGAAGAUCAUAUUGGAAGACAUGGUUGCCUAAGACAUGUUUUGUAUUAAAACAGAAACAGAUAUAACUAUGCACACAGGCUGCAAAGGUGGACUAGGGACAAGUAGGUGUCUGAGAAGGUGCUGGCUCUUUUGGUUGGAAUAUUGGAGUGCAGCAUGGGCCUCUUAAGGUAUUCAGAUUAGUUUUACUUACCUUUCUUGUGAGGUAGAUGUUGUCUGUUUGAUCUAAAAGUCCUCUGUUUAUUUCUGUUUGAUGAGCAUCUCUCUUUUGUUUGUGUGUUUCAAUACAAACUUGGAUGGCUUAUUCGUUUCAUCUAUGGUUAGACACGUACUCGUUUUUUAUAGCUUGUUGAGAAUAUAACAUCCAAGCCAUUUUCUUUGGAGAAGAAAGUUA